rnacentral:lncRNA from 1 species
UGUGGCAUGUGGAAGUUCCUAGGCUAGGGGUCGAAUUGGAGCUACAGCCUCCAGCCUACGCCACAGCCACAGCAACGUGGGAUCUGAGCCACGUUUGCGACCUACACUACAGCUCAUGGCAACGCUGGAUCCUUCACCCACUGAGUGAGCCCAGGGAUCAACCCCGCAUCCUCAUGGUUCCUAGUCAGGUUGGGUUCCUUGGUGGUGCAGCGGGUUAAGGAUCUGGCAUUGUCACUGCUGUGGUGCGGGUUCCAUCUCUGGCCUGGGAAUUUCUGCCCGUGGUGGGCGUGGCCUAAAAAAAUGCUCUUUGAGUGCUGCGGUAAAUACUAUAUAUUUCUACAUGACCAGUUCGGAAGUCACAUUUGGGCCGGGGCAGAUGCUUUUCGGUAGCGAGGUGGGUAGCUGACAGCAUUCUACAGUCCCCACUGGCCUCGUGUCUCACCUUCCAAACCCUGGAUGAUGGGGCUCUCACUACAGCCUCAGGAAGCAGACACACACCCCCAGUCACCCCCUAGAGUCAGCUAGCGGCAGCCAACCACCAGCAAUGUGUGGUCUCACACGGGAUCUUUGUCAAGAAAGUCACUGUGCUGGACAGAAAGCUCACAGCCCCCAGCACGGCGGGAGGGAGGGAGUCCUGACCCACAGGCUAAAUGCCUUCGGUCUCAGGACACAGAGGGAUGUGAGCCAAGGCCUCUGGCCAGCAGGCAAGUCUAGGGACUCUCCAAUAUGCCAAGCCUGUCUUUUGGGAUCCCUCACGCUCAAGAUCCGUGAUCAGCUACUUGUCAGGCCUCUGACCUGCCGGGAAAAUGAUCAGCAUCGCGGCAGACAGAGCACAGGCUGUGGAUGACGCUGGUGGCUACAGCCCUGAGUUCUGAUCUGGAUGUCACCACUCCCUGGCCGUGUGCAACUGCGUAAACAAGGACAGAAGUUACAUGAGGGUCCCUGACGUAGUGCAUGGCUGGCACGCACGGUGGCCCAGCACCGGGACCUGUGGUGUAAAGGCAGAGGACUCUGGAAUUCAGUGCCGUGGCUGAGGCUUGGUCACCGCCCGAGAUGAGGAAGAGGCCUCGUCUCCUUUCAUCAAGAUCCACCUCAGGCCUGGGAGGAUCAGACCAGGGCCUCUACCCCACCCCCCUCAGGCUGCCCCCCUCUCCUCUUGGGGGUUCUGUGUUUCUCCACACAGUCCAGUCUCUCCUCUGCCCUGGUCCAGUUUCCGUCCAGCGCCCUCCCUGCCAACUAGCGGGUUUUUCCAUCUCUGCACUCGAAGGAACCAUGACUCUGGAGGAAGACUCACCAGCCACUCGGGAACCGUCACCGAAGACGCCCCCAGUCAACUCCCUUGGCCACUCUCUCCAAACCCCAUUUACAACUGACCACGUCGCCUAAGAGCAGGAAUGCCAGACCCAGGGAGCAGGAAUGGGGAUUUUUUAAAAAAAGAGAAGAAAAGAGACGUCCUUCGGUUCCCAGGGCACCUUUCAACACACCACAGCGAGGCUCCUCCUCCUGCAUCACCAUCUGGUUGCUAUUGGCAACCAGGCAAUCAUAUUUUUCUGGUCCCAGAUAUAGUCAUCAUAAUCAAUAUAGGGUAUUUAUCCCACUCCUUUGUUUCAAGGAAUUCAAAGGUUUUCGCAUCUAUUUUCUUUCCUCACGAACAUGGGUGGGGGGUGUACGCUGGGAGGAAGCAAGCGUGCGGGGGUCGCGGGCGGUGGGGGGGGACUGAAUCUCUGCCUCUAUUUCACAGAUGGAAAAACUGAGGGAAGGGCUCAGGAAGGGAGAUGUAACGAACUGCCCGUGAGGAGAGGGCAUUGUUAACAGUGACGGGCAGGCGACCCGGUGCUUUCACUUACAUUUUCCAUUUAUUUCUCAACCCUGGGAGGCAGGCUCAUCGCAUCCUCUUUCAGAUGAGCCCCGGAAGAUUAAGUGAUUUGUCCAAAGUCAUACAGCUAGAAACGGCAUCGUUAAAACUUGAAUUGGGGCUAUUGAGUUCCAUGUCAGGUUUUUUUUUUUAUUCCCCAUAACAUUUCUGCAAAGAAUUCUAAUACGCUCUUAGAGUUAUCAUGUCUCUUCUAGGAGGUGCCAUCUUACCACUGUAAAUGCUAAUCACUCUACUCACUCUUAGGUAUGUAAUUCUUCUCUCCAGUUCUGGUUGAUACCAGUAUUUGAUCGGCAACAGGGACAAAGUGACAAGAUGAAAGCAUUCCACUGGGCUGACAAAUUUAGGAGCUAUAUAUUGAAUCUCCAAAAUUCUAUGGAUAUCCCCUUGCCAGAGUAAUUUUUGGAAAAAGAAUCUUUUUGAUUGUGAAAAUCAUUCAUCCCCUUUGACAACUACGUGAUGGUACCUGUUGCUACAGCAACUAGUUUAAUGUCACCCCUUUAUCGCUGCAACCAAAGUGACGCUGGAAACAUGCCUUUGGGGUCCCUGACGUGGACAAGGCACAUCCUGCACACCUUCCAUCCUAAAAUAAACACCAGCAAGGUCUUCAGGGCCCACCUUGCGAGUUAGUGCUAAACAGGCAGCUGGGGGUGAAAGGACAGCAAGUCAAACACACCUGAGAGAGGUCACAUGUGACCACGGGCAGAACUGCUCUAAAGAGGAUGUUUCUCUGGGUUUUAUGCGUAGCACGAACACCAGGGAAAGAAGAGAGUGGCUGGCUUGCGUCUGCAGCUUCCUCUUUAUUCUCAGAACAGAGAGCUAGGCAGACGCCCCCUGAGCCUUUCCCCGUCUUCCUAACAUAGAGUGAAGCGUGUUUUACUGCUUGCAUACCCUAGACCUCUUGAGAAAUGACAGCAAGGGACUCAGGCCAUCCUUUGCCCUCCUCGCAUCUCCUCUAGCAUCUCCCCGGAUUCUGGAAAAAGCUGCCACCUUGGGCAAUUCCCCCCAUACCCUCAUCAUACUCAGUUGAGUAGGCAGAAGCGGCAAAUUAGAAACAAAGUGCCCCUCUUGCCAGAACCCAGGCUAAGGACACAGAGAGAAACACUGACAAUCCAGAUCCCCAGGGCUUGGUGACCCGUGUCAACCCACGGGCGAAGGCUUGCUCAGCACCUCUUAGUGCAAUGAUUCCAUAACUGGCUCUUAACCCAGGCUGGCCGCCCACCACACAGCCCGUCCCGACUCCAGGACCCUGCCUUUGGUCUCCCCUCCCCUCCUGUGCCCAUGUCUCCUCAGCUCCCAACAUUCCAUUCCGGUCUCCAGCUCCCCAUCCCCAGCUCCCUUGGUGCAUUGCAUUUUUCCCCCCAACAUUGAAUUUUGAUUCUCCCUCUGACCACAGUUUGGACCCAACUCCCAGCUGCACAGUUUUCUGACCACACUGGGUACCACCUUCCUUGUAGCUGGGGCCCAGCCCACACCGGCCAGCCUGUUGGCGUCUCUGCCAUGCCCACCUCACUGCCCACAGAGGGGAGGCAAAAAGGGAGGAAAGGUGGGUGAACGCGCUGUAGGCAUAUGCAGCGUCUCUCCCAGAUAUUUAGCAAGACGCAAACUUCGACAUGCAGGUUCUCCAAGACAAAGGCCAGUUGGGGGCUCUUCCUAAGUCCCACUGAUCCCAGUCUGUCUCACGGCAGAUUCCCAACAAUGAUGACUCCUCUCCUUUGUAUAAGACCUGUUCCCUUCCAAAAAGCUUGCUGUCUGCUGUCUCUUUUCAGCCUGAUACCAGCCUUGGGAUGGAUGCUGUCAGAUGUGUUUUGCUGUCUGGGGACACGGGGGCACACAGCCAGGCAUAAUGCUGUGCUGAGUCAGAAGGUCACACUCUGCUUGGAUCUCACUGCCCAUGUGACAUGGGCACGACCCUAACUAGGUGUUGGUGCGGAGGAGAUAGAGGACGAUCCCCCCGUGCAGGUGGACGCACAAGCCAUGAUGGAAUUCCGACCCUGCAGGUGGUAAUAACCAAAGCCCACUCUGGUUCUUCGCCUGUAAUGAGGACCCCGAGUCUGCCUCCUCCCAGCUGCUCUGCUCUGCGGCCAUCAUGGGAGCAGGCGGAGCUGGGGUCUGGCCCAACCCACCCCUCUCCUGCACCUCUCCAUGCACAGAGGCACAUCUCAGGACCUCAGACCCUGUUUCCAGGACCAGACACACGGGUUUUAUCUUCAGGAUCAGAGCAGGCUUCCUGCCCAGGCAGGGCCACAUCCCCACUUAUAAGGGCGGCUGCGUGGCAAAAGCUGCCUGAGAUCCAUGGCCUCGCUCUCGGUUGUGGGCCCUCAAACUCCUGUCAAAUCUGUAGCAAUCGCCUCGGGCAGAAAAACAAGGGAGGAAGGAAAAUAACCAAGGUGGGGAGAGGGGAGAGAUGCUGAAAUCUGGACAACAUCAAGAGCCGGUUUCCGUGACAACGCUCCCUAUUACUGCAGCCUGUUCUAAUCAGUGCUGUCAAUGGAGCCUUCGAUCCCAUCGGUGGAGCCCCACCCUCAGGAGGGCCAUCGCACCCCCCCAUCACCCCCAUUUCCUAUCAGGGGAGAGCUUACGGGGUGAGACUUGUUGGGGAGAAAAGGAAGAUGAGGAAAGUGGCAGGGAGACAGAGCCACAGCCUGACAGACCUGUGGGAAUCACCUGUGUCUGCGUGUGCCAGGGACCCCGGUCAGAGAUGCGCUCAUGUCCCGCAGGACCUGGGACGGCCCUGGCCAGCACGCCAACGUGGCUGCCUGUGGACACAUCAGCUCAGCCUCUGCACGCCUCCCUCCCCCUUUCCGAUGCCCUGGGAUGUUCUCUCUUCUGUCUCAUCUCCUGCAAAGCUCUAAGCUCAAGUCGGUGCCCAGCAGGAAACAGGCACCAUGGCCUCCAACCUGAGCUCAGUGAGCUGGGGAUGGAGAGAGCAGUGGCCCGACAAUCUCCAGAGUUACACUGCAGUGAAGGGUUUAUGGCUUAGGGACUCCGCACAGACUCCAGACUCCUCAAGUUCCCAGAAAUGAUUGCUGACUUACGGGUCCCCCCCCAAACCCCGAUCCACAGAUGGGGUCUCAGAGGCAAACAACGCAUCAAAGUCACCUGCUGGGUCUGGUGUCCCCAGCAAAC